rnacentral:lncRNA from 1 species
AUUUCAAAUAAGUACUAAAAACAAAAAAUUAAAAAAUUAAUUUCUUUUUAAAUUAUUUAUUCGAAAUUUAUUUGUACUUUUUGAAAACUUUGGAAGUGUGAUUUUAAUUUGUUUUUUUUAUUUUUCCUUUCUAAUUUAUUAUUUAAAUUAGAAGGUAUGUUUGUAAUUUGACAACUUUUUAUUGAGAAAGUGAAUGAAAAUGAUGAUUUUAGCAAUGUAAAGUGAAAAUAAGGUUGAAAUGUUGAAAAUGAAAGGUAUACAUUUUACACAAUAAUAUUAAAAGAUAUGAAUAUUUUGUAUUAAUAACUCUUUUAAUAAUUUAUUCGGACUCACUAUAGUUUUUUAAAAAGUUUUAGAGUUUAAUUGCAAUUUAUUUUUUAAAAAGUUAAAAUUCUUAUUACAUUUAUUUAAUUGACAUUUUUCAUAUUUUUAAUUUAGCUGGGAUUAUUAAUUUUGGGAGUUUAGCCGUUUGAAUAGGACCACGUAAACAAGGGGCGAUGUGACAUGUUUGAACAGCACCUAUUACGUUGUGCCACAUGGCACCACUCUAAUUUUAGUAUUAAAAUUAUUAUCCCAUUUAUUUAAUAGAUAUUUUUCAUACUUUUAAUUUAGCUGAGAUCCUUAGUUUUAGUUAAAAG